UCAAUCCAGUGUGGUUUAAGGUUUUGGAUAGGACCAUUUUACCACUAAAGUGAAAGAAACAAGGAGGUCCAAGGGGUUGUAAAAGAUUCAUAGCCAAGAGAGGGACAUUGGGAGUGACGGGCGUUGAUCAUAUUCAACAUACUAGGUGAAAGCACACUAUUCAUUUUCUUCAAGUUAUUCAAAACUGAAGAUCAGAUCUGUUGGAGUGGCCAAUAUUUAUCCUCUUGAGUAUUGAAAAUCUAUAUCUACAUAUGAAAUUGUCCAUGAAUCAGCUGCGUUCCAUUUCUAAUCAAGCGCAAGGGAUUUUUUUUUCCGCAUCCAACUAAAUGCUACUGUCAGAAUGCCUACAUCAGAUUAUGAGAGACAGUUCCCCAAUCUAUUUAUUUUUCUUACAAAUGCAGAGGUGGGGAAUGCUUUUGUUGAACAAUAAUACCACAUCAUCAAGCAUCCGAGCUUGUGUUUCAAUGUUACUAGGAAAGGAGUAAAGUUGGCAGCCUGAGCUUGAUGGAAACUUGAGUUCCAUAACGACCAUGAAAGGUAUCAAUGAGAAGAUAAUCUCUCUGGAUUAGAGCAAUUGCAAAGCAGAACUUAAGACGGUGGAUGCCCAGGAAUCACACAAUGGUGGAAUGAGUCCUUGUGACUGGGUAUCUCACUAGAAAGGAUGUUGUGAGGAGGGGUUUUAAGCAGAUUUUUUUCCUUGCUCCUCCAGGUAUGGGCAAGGGCUACAUUGUUUUGAACUUCUUUAGAUAUGUUGAAGAGGUUAAAAAUUAGGGGUAAGACCCAGAGUUUGCCUAAUGAUGUAGCUGCGCUCAUCUAACUCCUGAGCUGGGUAUGUUCUAUAUUUGUGUGUGUGUGUGGUUUUUUUUUUUCUUUUUCUUCUAAUGAUCAUAGGUUGUUUUCUUCUAUUUGAUUGAGAUUCUUCCUUGACAAUGAGGAAGAGCAAGCCUGGUUGAUAAUAGAUUCGAUUUUAUUUUAAAAAUGAAAACAGUAAUUUUCUAGAA